rnacentral:rRNA from 1 species
GAUGAACGCUGGCGGCGUGCCUAAUACAUGCAAGUCGAGCGAACGGACGAGAAGCUUGCUUCUCUGAUGUUAGCGGCGGACGGGUGAGUAACACGUGGAUAACCUACCUAUAAGACUGGGAUAACUUCGGGAAACCGGAGCUAAUACCGGAUAAUAUUUUGAACCGCAUGGUUCAAAAGUGAAAGACGGUCUUGCUGUCACUUAUAGAUGGAUCCGCGCUGCAUUAGCUAGUUGGUAAGGUAACGGCUUACCAAGGCAACGAUGCAUAGCCGACCUGAGAGGGUGAUCGGCCACACUGGAACUGAGACACGGUCCAGACUCCUACGGGAGGCAGCAGUAGGGAAUCUUCCGCAAUGGGCGAAAGCCUGACGGAGCAACGCCGCGUGAGUGAUGAAGGUCUUCGGAUCGUAAAACUCUGUUAUUAGGGAAGAACAUAUGUGUAAGUAACUGUGCACAUCUUGACGGUACCUAAUCAGAAAGCCACGGCUAACUACGUGCCAGCAGCCGCGGUAAUACGUAGGUGGCAAGCGUUAUCCGGAAUUAUCGGGCGUAAAGCGCGCGUAGGCGGUUUUUUAAGUCUGAUGUGAAAGCCCACGGCUCAACCGUGGAGGGUCAUUGGAAACUGGAAAACUUGAGUGCAGAAGAGGAAAGUGGAAUUCCAUGUGUAGCGGUGAAAUGCGCAGAGAUAUGGAGGAACACCAGUGGCGAAGGCGACUUUCUGGUCUGUAACUGACGCUGAUGUGCGAAAGCGUGGGGAUCAAACAGGAUUAGAUACCCUGGUAGUCCACGCCGUAAACGAUGAGUGCUAAGUGUUAGGGGGUUUCCGCCCCUUAGUGCUGCAGCUAACGCAUUAAGCACUCCGCCUGGGGAGUACGACCGCAAGGUUGAAACUCAAAGGAAUUGACGGGGACCCGCACAAGCGGUGGAGCAUGUGGUUUAAUUCGAAGCAACGCGAAGAACCUUACCAAAUCUUGACAUCCUUUGACAACUCUAGAGAUAGAGCCUUCCCCUUCGGGGGACAAAGUGACAGGUGGUGCAUGGUUGUCGUCAGCUCGUGUCGUGAGAUGUUGGGUUAAGUCCCGCAACGAGCGCAACCCUUAAGCUUAGUUGCCAUCAUUAAGUUGGGCACUCUAAGUUGACUGCCGGUGACAAACCGGAGGAAGGUGGGGAUGACGUCAAAUCAUCAUGCCCCUUAUGAUUUGGGCUACACACGUGCUACAAUGGACAAUACAAAGGGCAGCGAAACCGCGAGGUCAAGCAAAUCCCAUAAAGUUGUUCUCAGUUCGGAUUGUAGUCUGCAACUCGACUACAUGAAGCUGGAAUCGCUAGUAAUCGUAGAUCAGCAUGCUACGGUGAAUACGUUCCCGGGUCU